rnacentral:rRNA from 1 species
GACGUAGGGCGCGAGCGUUGUCCGGAUUUAUUGGGCGUGAAGAGCUCGUAGGCGGCUUGUCGCGUCGACUGUGAAAACUUGGGGCUCAACCCCAAGCUUGCAGUCGAUACGGGCAGGCUAGAGUUCGGUAGGGGAGACUGGAAUUCCUGGUGUAGCGGUGAAAUGCGCAGAUAUCAGGAGGAACACCGAUGGCGAAGGCAGGUCUCUGGGCCGAUACUGACGCUGAGGAGCGAAAGCGUGGGGAGCGAACAGG